rnacentral:ncRNA from 2 species
UUAACUAGGAAAGGAGGAGGUUCACCUCAACGGACGACAAAGUCAGGGGAAGAUGGUGCGAAGCCAUCACGGUGCCGCCACUGUAAGCGGCGAGUGACCCUACCGAUGAGCCACUGUGCG